rnacentral:tRNA from 4 species
CCUCGCGUAGUGUACCGGUGCGCACGCAAGCUUGUCAAGCUUGUAGAGAGGGUUCAACUCCCUUCGCGAGGAC